AGAGUUUGAUCCUGGCUCAGAACGAACGCUGGCGGCAUGCCUAACACAUGCAAGUCGAACGAAGCCUUCGGGCUUAGUGGCGCACGGGUGCGUAACGCGUGGGAAUCUGCCCUUGGGUACGGAAUAACAGUGAGAAAUUACUGCUAAUACCGUAUGAUGUCUUCGGACCAAAGAUUUAUCGCCCAGGGAUGAGCCCGCGUAGGAUUAGCUAGUUGGUGAGGUAAAGGCUCACCAAGGCUACGAUCCUUAGCUGGUCUGAGAGGAUGAUCAGCCACACUGGGACUGAGACACGGCCCAGACUCCUACGGGAGGCAGCAGUGGGGAAUAUUGGACAAUGGGCGAAAGCCUGAUCCAGCAAUGCCGCGUGAGUGAAGAAGGCCUUCGGGUUGUAAAGCUCUUUUACCCGGGAAGAUAAUGACCGUACCGGGAGAACAAGCCCCGGCUAACUCCGUGCCAGCAGCCGCGGUAAUACGGAGGGGGCUAGCGUUGUUCGGAAUCACUGGGCGUAAAGCGUGCGUAGGCGGCCAUUCAAGUCAGAGGUGAAAUCCCAGGG
rnacentral:rRNA from 1 species